rnacentral:rRNA from 1 species
AGAGUUUGAUCAUGGCUCAGGACGAACGCUGGCGGCGUGCUUAACACAUGCAAGUCGAGCGGUAAGGCUCCUUCGGGAGUACACGAGCGGCGAACGGGUGAGUAACACGUGAGCAAUCUGCCCUUCACACUGGGAUAACCCCCGGAAACGGGAGCUAAUACCAGAUACGACCACUUCGGGCAUCCGAUGGUGGUGGAAAGUUCCGGCGGUGAAGGAUGAGCUCGCGGCCUAUCAGCUUGUUGGUGAGGUAAUGGCUCACCAAGGCUUCGACGGGUAGCCGGCCUGAGAGGGUGACCGGCCACACUGGGACUGAGGCACGGCCCAGACUCCUACGGGAGGCAGCAGUGGGGAAUAUUGGACAAUGGGCGAAAGCCUGAUCCAGCAACGCCGCGUGAGGGAUGACGGCCUUCGGGUUGUAAACCUCUUUCAGCAGGGACGAAGCGAAAGUGACGGUACCUGCAGAAGAAGGACCGGCCAACUACGUGCCAGCAGCCGCGGUAAUACGUAGGGUCCGAGCGUUGUCCGGAAUUAUUGGGCGUAAAGGGCUCGUAGGCGGUCUGUCGCGUCGGGAGUGAAAACACGGGGCUUAACCCCGUGCCUGCUUCCGAUACGGGCAGACUAGAGGUAUGCAGGGGAGAACGGAAUUCCUGGUGUAGCGGUGAAAUGCGCAGAUAUCAGGAGGAACACCGGUGGCGAAGGCGGUUCUCUGGGCAUUACCUGACGCUGAGGAGCGAAAGUGUGGGGAGCGAACAGGAUUAGAUACCCUGGUAGUCCACACCGUAAACGUUGGGCGCUAGGUGUGGGACUCAUUCCACGAGUUCCGUGCCGCAGCUAACGCAUUAAGCGCCCCGCCUGGGGAGUACGGCCGCAAGGCUAAAACUCAAAGGAAUUGACGG